rnacentral:rRNA from 1 species
ACGCUGGCGGCGUGCUUAACACAUGCAAGUCGAACGGAAAGGCCCUGCUUUUGUGGGGUGCUCGAGUGGCGAACGGGUGAGUAACACGUGAGUAACCUGCCCUUGACUUUGGGAUAACUUCAGGAAACUGGGGCUAAUACCGGAUAGGAGCUCCUGCUGCAUGGUGGGGGUUGGAAAGUUUCGGCGGUUGGGGAUGGACUCGCGGCUUAUCAGCUUGUUGGUGGGGUAGUGGCUUACCAAGGCUUUGACGGGUAGCCGGCCUGAGAGGGUGACCGGCCACAUUGGGACUGAGAUACGGCCCAGACUCCUACGGGAGGCAGCAGUGGGGAAUAUUGCACAAUGGGCGGAAGCCUGAUGCAGCAACGCCGCGUGCGGGAUGACGGCCUUCGGGUUGUAAACCGCUUUCGCCUGUGACGAAGCGUGAGUGACGGUAAUGGGUAAAGAAGCACCGGCUAACUACGUGCCAGCAGCCGCGGUGAUACGUAGGGUGCGAGCGUUGUCCGGAUUUAUUGGGCGUAAGGGGCUCGUAGGUGGUUGAUCGCGUCGGAAGUGUAAUCUUGGGGCUUAACCCUGAGCGUGCUUUCGAUACGGGUUGACUUGAGGAAGGUAGGGGAGAAUGGAAUUCCUGGUGGAGCGGUGGAAUGCGCAGAUAUCAGGAGGAACACCAGUGGCGAAGGCGGUUCUCUGGGCCUUUCCUGACGCUGAGGAGCGAAAGCGUGGGGAGCGAACAGGCUUAGAUACCCUGGUAGUCCACGCUGUAAACGGUGGGUACUAGGUGUGGGGUCCAUUCCACGGGUUCCGUGCCGUAGCUAACGCUUUAAGUACCCCGCCUGGGGAGUACGGCCGCAAGGCUAAAACUCAAAGGAAUUGACGGGGCCCCGCACAAGCGGCGGAGCAUGCGGAUUAAUUCGAUGCAACGCGUAGAACCUUACCUGGGUUUGACAUGGAUCGGGAGUGCUCAGAGAUGGGUGUGCCUCUUUUGGGGUCGGUUCACAGGUGGUGCAUGGCUGUCGUCAGCUCGUGUCGUGAGAUGUUGGGUUAAGUCCCGCAACGAGCGCAACCCUUGUUCACUGUUGCCAGCACGUUAUGGUGGGGACUCAGUGGAGACCGCCGGGGUCAACUCGGAGGAAGGUGGGGAUGACGUCAAGUCAUCAUGCCCCUUAUGUCCAGGGCUUCACGCAUGCUACAAUGGCUGGUACAGAGAGUGGCGAGCCUGUGAGGGUGAGCGAAUCUCGGAAAGCCGGUCUCAGUUCGGAUUGGGGUCUGCAACUCGACCUCAUGAAGUCGGAGUCGCUAGUAAUCGCAGAUCAGCAACGCUGCGGUGAAUACGUUCCCGGG